rnacentral:rRNA from 1 species
UACGGAGGGUGCAAGCGUUGCUCGGAAUUACUGGGCGUAAAGCGUGUGUAGGCGGCUGUGUAAGUCGGGUGUGAAAGCCCUGGGCUUAACCCAGGAAUUGCGCCCGAAACUGCGCAGCUAGAGUGCCGGAGAGGGUGGUAGAAUUCCCAGUGUAGAGGUGAAAUUCGUAGAUAUUGGGAGGAAUACCAGUGGCGAAGGCGGCCACCUGGACGGACACUGACGCUGAGACACGAAAGCGUGGGGAG